GAUGAACGCUGGCGGCGUGCCUAAUACAUGCAAGUCGAGCGAACGGACGAGAAGCUUGCUUCUCUGAUGUUAGCGGCGGACGGGUGAGUAACACGUGGAUAACCUACCUAUAAGACUGGGAUAACUUCGGGAAACCGGAGCUAAUACCGGAUAAUAUUUUGAACCGCAUGGUUCAAAAGUGAAAGACGGUCUUGCUGUCACUUAUAGAUGGAUCCGCGCUGCAUUAGCUAGUUGGUAAGGUAACGGCUUACCAAGGCAACGAUGCAUAGCCGACCUGAGAGGGUGAUCGGCCACACUGGAACUGAGACACGGUCCAGACUCCUGCGGGAGGCAGCAGUAGGGAAUCUUCCGCAAUGGGCGAGAGCCUGACGGAGCAACGCCGCGUGAGUGAUGAAGGUCUUCGGAUCGUAAAACUCUGUUAUUAGGGGAGAACAUAUGUGUAAGUAACUGUGCACAUCUUGACGGUACCUAAUCAGAAAGCCACGGCUAACUACGUG
rnacentral:rRNA from 1 species